AUUGAACGCUGGCGGAAUGCUUUACACAUGCAAGUCGAACGGCAGCACGGACUUCGGUCUGGUGGCGAGUGGCGAACGGGUGAGUAAUACAUCGGAACGUGCCCAGUCGUGGGGGAUAACGUAGCGAAAGCUACGCUAAUACCGCAUACGAUCUAAGGAUGAAAGCGGGGGAUCGCAAGACCUCGCGCGAUUGGAGCGGCCGAUGGCAGAUUAGGUAGUUGGUAGGGUAAAGGCCUACCAAGCCGACGAUCUGUAGCUGGUCUGAGAGGAUGAUCAGCCACACUGGGACUGAGACACGGCCCAGACUCCUACGGGAGGCAGCAGUGGGGAGUUUUGGACAAUGGGCGCAAGCCUGAUCUAGCCAUUCCGCGUGCAGGAUGAAGGCCUUCGGGUUGUAAACUGCUUUUGUACAGAACGAAAAGGCUCUGGUUAAUACCCGGGGCUCAUGACGGUACUGUAAGAAUAAGCACCGGCUAACUACGUGCCAGCAGCCGCGGUAA
rnacentral:rRNA from 1 species